AAGGCCACAGUGAACAUAGAGGUAUC
rnacentral:piRNA from 1 species